rfam:TPA: Bos taurus chromosome 9, whole genome shotgun sequence.
UCCCUGGCAGUCCAGUGGUUAGGACUUAGUGCUUCCACUGCUGGAGCCCUGAGUUCGAUCCCUGGUCAGGGAA